rnacentral:rRNA from 1 species
AGUGAACGCUGGCGGUAGGCCUAACACAUGCAAGUCGAACGGCAGCACAGGAGAGCUUGCUCUCUGGGUGGCGAGUGGCGGACGGGUGAGGAAUACAUCGGAAUCUACCUUUUCGUGGGGGAUAACGUAGGGAAACUUACGCUAAUACCGCAUACGACCUACGGGUGAAAGUGGGGGACCGCAAGGCCUCACGCGAUUAGAUGAGCCGAUGUCCGAUUAGCUAGUUGGCGGGGUAAUGGCCCACCAAGGCGACGAUCGGUAGCUGGUCUGAGAGGGUGAUCAGCCACACUGGGACUGAGACACGGUCCAGACUCCUACGGGAGGCAGCAGUGGGGAAUAUUGGACAAUGGGCGCAAGCCUGAUCCAGCCAUACCGCGUGGGUGAAGAAGGCCUUCGGGUUGUAAAGCCCUUUUGUUGGGAAAGAAAUCCUGUCGAUUAAUACUCGGUGGGGAUGACGGUACCCAAAGAAUAAGCACCGGCUAACUUCGUGCCAGCCGCCGCAGUAAGAC